GUAGGUGAACCUGCGGAAGGAUCAUUCAUAACAAGUGUUUUAUGGCACUUUUUAAAUCCAUAUCCACCUUGUGUGCAAUGUCGGUUGGUCUCUUUGAAAAAAGCGGCCAGCCAAACAUCAACCCUAUCUUAACUCUUUGUCUGAAAAAUAUUAUGAAUAAAACAAUUCAAAUACAACUUUCAACAACGGAUCUCUUGGCUCUCGCAUCGAUGAAGAACGCAGCAUCUGACUGACUGAACUGUAUCUCAUC
rnacentral:misc_RNA from 1 species